AUUUAAAUAGUUUAAUAGAAAAUUUUGAUUUGUGGAAUCAAAGAUAUAGAAAUUAUUUUAAAUA
rnacentral:tRNA from 1 species